rfam:Triticum urartu cultivar G1812 contig1067670, whole genome shotgun sequence.
AAGAUACUCCCUCCAUCCUAAAAAGCUUGUCCCUCAAAUGGAUGUAUCUAGCAUCAAGUUAGUGCUAGAUACAGUCAUUUGAGCAAAAAGCUUGGGACAAGGUUUUUCGGAUGGAGGGAGUACAAG